UAAACUCAAAUUGCAUUGCUUCUUUGGUAACACCGUCCAGAAAAAUCCAAAGUGAAGACAAACCACAGAGACCGUAGAGAAUGGAGUUACCAGAAGGAUGCAUCGCCGCCAUACUCUGCCGCACUACUCCAGUGGACGCCGCAAGACUCGCCGUCGUUUCUAAGACCUUCUACUCCGCCGCCGAUUCCGACGCUGUAUGGAAUCACUUUCUCCCUUCCGAUUACCAUUCCAUCGUUUCCCAAUCUCCUUCUCUUGCCAACGCUCCUUCCAACAAAGCGCUCUACCUCGCUCUCUCCGAUCGCCCUGUCAUCAUCGACCACGGUAAAAAGAGCUUUCAAUUGGAUAGGAAGAGUGGGAAGAAGUGUUACAUGCUUGGUGCCAGAGCUCUCUCCAUUAUUUGGGGUGACGAUGAACGUUACUGGCAGUGGAUCAACCUCCCAGAAUCCAGGUUUCCUGAAGUUGCUGAGCUCCGGGAUGUGUGCUGGCUUGAAAUUCGUGGGAUGAUGAACACCAUUGCCCUGUCCCCAAACACUGAGUAUGUGGCUUUUCUUGUGUUCAAUAUGAUUGAUUCCCACGGAUUUCAUAGCCGUCCAGUGGAGUUAUCAGUCAGUAUCAUAGGUGGCCAUAGCAGUAACAAAUAUGUCUGUUUGGAUCCAAACUUGAAUGAAAGGCCGCACAUUAGAAUACAGGGAUUGCAACGUCCAAGUGUGAGAAGCGAUGGGUAGUUGGAGAUUGAGAUGGGGGAGUUCUUCAAUUCAGGCCUAGAAGAUGAAGAACUGCAGUUGAGCAUUCUCGAGGUAAAUAGCCGUAACUGGAAGAGUGGUCUCCAUCUUGAAGGAAUAGAAGUUAGGCCUAGGGAAGUCAAUAGCGUGCACACUUUGCUAAAGCCUCUCCAAAGGCAUAAUUCAGUUGGGAGAGAAGAAGUGAGAAAAAGAAUGGAGCAUUUGCCAGAAGGAUGCAUCGCCGCCAUACUCUGCCGCACCACUCCGGCGGACGCCGCCAGACUCGCCGCCGUUUCCAAGAUCUUCCGCUCCGCCGCCGACUCCAACGCCGUCUGGGAUCGUUUUCUCCCUUCCGAUUACCAUUCCAUCGUUUCCCAGUCUCCUUCUCUUGCCAACGCUUCUUCUAAGAAAGCGCUCUACCUCGCUCUUUCCGAUCACCCUAUCAUCAUCGAUCAGGGUAAAAAGAGCUUUGAAUUGAACAGGAAGAGUGGGAAGAAGUGCUACAUGCUUGGUUCCAGAGCUCUCACCAUUGUUUGGGGUGACACUGAGGAGUAUUGGAGUUGGGAAACCCUCCCAGAGUCAAGGUUUCCUGAAGUUGCUGUGCUUCAGGUUGUGUGGUGGCUUGAAAUUCGUGGGAAGAUAAACACCUUUUCCUUGUCUCCAAGCACUCUUUAUGGAGCUUUUCUUGUUUUCAAGACUGAGCAUGCCUAUGGAUUUAAUAAUUGUCCUGUGGAGUUAUCAGUCAGCAUCAUAGGUGGCCAUAGCAGUACCAAAAAUGUCUGUUUGGAUUCAAGGAUGGGUAGGCGGGGGGCGCACUUCAGAGUAGAGGGAUUGCAACGUCCAGCUGUGAGAAGUGAUGGGUGGUUGGAGAUUGAGAUGGGAGAGUUCUCCAAUUCAAGCCUAGAAGAUGAAGAACUGCAGAUGAGUGUUAUCGAGAUACAAGGUUAUAGUUCGAAGAGCGGUCUCAUUCUUGAAGGAAUAGAAGUUAGGCCUAAGGAAGGCAAUUAAGAAACCAAAUUUAUUUCAUUGAACUAUGCAUGGGUUUGCAUCUUAGAUGGCUUAUACUGCUUGCAGAUUUGAAGCUUCAAGUUGUGAACAUACACUGUGAUGUGUUCUUGUGCCAAACUGAUAAAGUUUAUGCAUAAGCUAUAUUGCUCAUCAUAACUCUUAUGACAUGAUGAUGAUGAUGAUGUUUUUGUAUCCCGGGAUAAUUUUUUGUUUUGGAUAUUAACCUCGGGUGAAUGAACUUUGAAUUAAUCUAGAA